UUGCCACUGGGGCGCAGCCUGAUGCAGCCAUGCCGCGUGAGUGAAGAAGGCCUUCGGGUUGUAAAGCUCUUUUAGCGGGGAGGAAGGGGUUAAGGUUAAUAACCUUAGCCAUUGACGUUACCCGCAGAAAAAGCACCGGCUAACUCCGUGCCAGCAGCCGCGGUAAUACGGAGGGUGCAAGCGUUAAUCGGAAUUACUGGGCGUAAAGCGCACGCAGGCGGUCUGUCAAGUCGGAUGUGAAAUCCCCGGGCUCAACCUGGGAACUGCAUUCGAAACUGGCAGGCUUGAGUCUCGUAGAGGGGGGUAGAAUUCCAGGUGUAGCGGUGAAAUGCGUAGAGAUCUGGAGGAAUACCGGUGGCGAAGGCGGCCUCCUGGACUAUGACUGACGCUCAUGUGCGAAAGCGUGUGGAUCAAACAGGAUUAGAUACCCUGGUAGUC
rnacentral:rRNA from 1 species